rnacentral:tmRNA from 1 species
GGGGAUGUAAUUGGUCUCGACAUGAUUACUUAUUUUCCUAGCGCAGUAGGGUUUGCCCUUUAUAGCUCGAGGUAUGCCGAAAUGACAACUCAAAAAAUGAAGCUUCUGAAUACUCUGCAGUAUCUCCAGAAUUACUUCAAAGCCAAGCUAACUUCGCUGUAGCAUAGUCUACUCCGAAGUCCUAGGCUUCCAAAGUACUAAGUAGUUUUAUCAUUUUACUCUGGUACAUUAAAUAAAAUGAUAUAUUGUUCGGUUUGUUUGGCUGAGCAAAGAAAACCACAAACAUAUACUAAUCAUGGUUCGUUCUAUUACCAUAAUGAUUAGCGAAGCACCAAAUUAGAACUAAACUGUAGUACUAGGAAAAAAGGUAAUUGUGGAAACGGGUUCGAAUCCCGUCAUCUCCGCCA